UUAUAAAAAUUGUGACAUCAUUCCCUCCUUUAUUUCUAAAACUCCAAUUAUAACGACGUUUCGGGAAAUGUUCCCAUCAUCAGGUUAAUACUCUUAUCUAAAGAAACACGAAUUACUAAAUUAAAACUAACAUAAUUACUAUUACAAAUAUGAAAAACAAUCUCCAUACACUUAAAUCACAAAACAUUUUUUGUUUAGUUUAUAGAAUAUGAUUUUAAUUGUUUAGUAUCGUAUUUGUGUUGUUGUAUUCGUUUUUUAAGAUGUUGUUUUGAUUCCCCUAUAUAUAUUUUAUUACAAUCAGUGCAAUUUAAUUGGUAUAUAUAUAAUAUGGGAGAGAAAACAGGUUUCGGACAAAGGAAUACAAUUGUUAUCUGACCUUGUAUGAAAAUUUUUCUUAGACUUGAUUCGUAAGCAUGAUAAGAUGUAUCGGAAUAAAUUUAAGAAACAAUUAAUGAUAAAAAUUGAUGAAUAGUCUUAGAUAAGAGUAUUAUUAACCUGAUGAUGGGAACAUUUCCCGAAACGUCGUUAUAAUUGGAGUUUUAGAAAUAAAGGAGGGAAUGAUGUCACAA